rnacentral:rRNA from 1 species
GAGGAAUAUUGGUCAAUGGACGCAAGUCUGAACCAGCCACGUCGCGUGAAGGAAGACGGCCCUACGGGUUGUAAACUUCUUUUAUACGGGAAUAAAGUGCCCCACGCGUGGGGUUUUGCAAGUACCGUACGAAUAAGGAUCGGCUAACUCCGUGCCAGCAGCCGCGGUAAUACGGAGGAUCCGAGCGUUAUCCGGAUUUAUUGGGUUUAAAGAGUGCUCAGGCGGGGGAUUAAGUCGGCGGUGAAAUUUUGCAGCUCAACUGUAAAAGUGCCUUCGAAACUGGUUUCCUUGAGGUCGGGAGAGGUUAGAGGUACUCCCAGGGUAGGGGUGAAAUCCUGUAAUCCUGGGAGGACCACCUGUGGCGAAGGCGUCUAACUGGAACGAACCUGACGGUGAGGGACGAAAGCUAGGGGCGCGAACC